UUUAAUGUUCAUGGGAAACACCUUGUUAAAAUGUAGGUUCUGACACAGUAGGUUUGGGGGGCGGGGGCUGAGAUUCUGCAUUUCUAAGAAGCUCCCAGGUGACGUUCAU
rnacentral:miRNA from 1 species